rnacentral:rRNA from 1 species
AUUGAACGCUGGCGGCAUGCCUUACACAUGCAAGUCGAACGGUAACAGGUCUUCGGAUGCUGACGAGUGGCGAACGGGUGAGUAAUACAUCGGAACGUACCCGAUCGUGGGGGAUAACGAGGCGAAAGCUUUGCUAAUACCGCAUACGAUCUACGGAUGAAAGCGGGGGAUCUUCGGACCUCGCGCGGACGGAGCGGCCGAUGGCAGAUUAGGUAGUUGGUGGGAUAAAAGCUUACCAAGCCGACGCUCUGUAGCUGGUCUGAGAGGAUGAUCAGCCACACUGGGACUGAGACACGGCCCAGACUCCUACGGGAGGCAGCAGUAGGGAAUUUUGGACAAUGGGCGAAAGCCUGAUCCAGCCAUGCCGCGUGCAGGAUGAAGGCCUUCGGGUUGUAAACUGCUUUUGUACGGAACGAAAAGCCUCUUUCUAAUAAAGAGGGGUCAUGACGGUACCGUAAGAAUAAGCACCGGCUAACUACGUGCCAGCAGCCGCAGUAACAC